UGACUUACUUGGCAGGAAGAUAACCAUGGUCAAGAAAGUGGUUUUCCCAGUGUAAGGCUCAUUUAUCCAUCGACUCCAGGUGCUCUGACCUCUGCUGUUUCGACACAUGUGGGAAACUUGAUGCAUAAUUUGUGGAUC
rnacentral:snRNA from 1 species